UGUGACCAGGAUAAUGAUGGAAACGGAAAUGCGGGGAGGCGGGGAAGAGGCCAUUUGCAGCUCUUGGCACUUGAGAGAGAUGGGUGCUCACCCCGUGUUACUUUACAGCUUCAUCUGGGAGCACGUUCUCCCAAUGGACAGGAUGGAUGGGAAAGCUGUUUCAGUUCCUAUUACCCCUGCGUCUUGAAGACAAGCUUUGGCCGUGGAGAGCAACAGCAGCACAUGCUCCAGUGCCAAGCAGCUCAUGCUCCAUGUCCCUGGCAAGAGGGCCUGGAGCACUUGUGCAGUGAGGAAAGCCUGAGAACCCUGGGUUGUCGAGAGAGUCCUUCCCUGAGGUUCUUGCAAAGCCAGCUGGAUGUGGGCCUGGGAAACCUGCUCAGAGUGGCCCUGCAGGAGGGUUCGGAGCGGGUCGUGCAAUCAUAGAAUCACUGAGGUGGACAAAGAUCCUCAGAGUUUGAUUCCGCAAGUCAAGGGGAAGGAGGGAGCUCCCUCACUGCCACUUGCAGCAGCAGCUACACAAUGGCACCGAGCCACGAUGGGGAGGCCAUGAGGCCGUGAUGCCAAAGCAGACAGAAGCCCUUCAGAAACCUAGACAGAGAUUGUGGUGAGAAGGACCAUGGCAGGGAUCGGUUUCCUUUAGUCCUACCACAAGCUGGAUGCCUUCUACUGAGCAGCAGCACCCAACUGCUCAUCCUUCUGCUGUAGCAGGGCUGCAUUUUGUGAAGCAGCACCGAGAGCAGCUGAUCCAAUGCGUGAUGUCUGUCAGUCUUGUCCUGGACCGGCUGUAUGGAUGCAUCCUGACCAACGAGCUGUACCAGAGCGACCGAGCAAUGCCCACCACGCAGGAGCAGA